ACAGGCUUGUAGCUCAGGUGGUUAGAGCGCACCCCUGAUAAGGGUGAGGUCGGUGGUUCAAGUCCACUCAGGCCUAC
rnacentral:tRNA from 1 species